rnacentral:rRNA from 1 species
UUUAAAUGGCCGCAGUAUACUAACUGUGCAAAGGUAGCAUAAUCAUUAGUCUUUUAAUUGAAGGCUGGUAUGAAUGGUUGGACGAAAUAUUAACUGUUUCAUAAAAAUUUAUAUUAGAAUUUUAUUUUUUAGUUAAAAAGCUAAAAUUUAUUUAAAAGACGAGAAGACCCUAUAAAUCUUUAUAUUUAAUUUAUUAUAAUUAAAUAGAUUAUUCUUAUUAUAAUAAUUAAUAAUAUUUUAUUGGGGUGAUAUUAAAAUUUAAUAAACUUUUAAUUAUUUAAAAAUCAUUAAUUUAUGUUUGAUUGAUCCGUUAAUAACGAUUAAAAAAAUAAGUUACUUUAGGGAUAACAGCGUAAUUUUUUUGGAGAGUUCAUAUUGAUAAAAAAGAUUGCGACCUCGAUGUUGGAUUAAGAUAUAGUUUUAGGUGUAGUCGCUUAAAUUUUAAGUCUGUUCGACUUUUAA